rnacentral:lncRNA from 1 species
CUCUGUUUGGCCUUUGUACGCAGCUACGAGAAGGCGCUCUGAAAGUGCAGCGACCGCAUCUUGCUGGCUCAUGAAUUAGGAAAGAAAGGUUUUCAGGGAAGCGGUAGACAAGUUCCUUCAGCUCAACACGAAGUCACUGGCCCGGCCUGGCACCCAGAGGUAAAGAAUAGCAGAAAAAGAGAGAGGAACUCUCGCAAACCCAUCCUGCUCCUGCUCACUGGGUCAUUAGAAACAAAACAGAUCUGGUGAAGGGUCUGCUGUAAAGCAGCUUGGUGUCAGAGCUGAUCCAAACAGUGAGACAAAAGUCUUGAGGUUAAAAGACAACGUCCUACUCUACUUUAACCCCGACUUGUCUUCACCGUGUUUUGCAAAGAGUAGAUACUCAUUAACCAGUUGGUGAGAGCUGUUUCUAUAUGACAAGAGACCUCUAGAAAAGUGGAAUCAGGUAACAUCACAGAAAGAGACAAGCAGCAACUAGACAGUGUGUCCUCCUGCUAAAAGUACGUAACGUCAGUUGUGAAGUAGUCCUGUCCCUCUCACCCAGAAAAAGCGCCCAACUCUGACGAAGCUUUCAGGAAAUCUAACUACCAAGCAUUAGAUCACACUUUGAGAAGCUCUGCUGUAAAAGACAAAAGACCUGAUUGCUUCAACAAAAACAGAAAAUUGCAAGGGGAAAAAUGAGAUGGAGAAGAAACGUAGAGAUUAAGAUUUAAGAGAUUUAUCACCCAAUGACUAUGACCUUUGGAUCCCAAUUAAAAAAACUUAAAAUGUUAUGUGACAAUUAAAAAA